UACGGAGGGGACUAGCGUUGUUCGGAAUUACUGGGCGUAAAGCACACGUAGGCGGAUUUGUAAGUCAGGGGUGAAAUCCCGGGGCUCAACCUCGGAACUGCCUUUGAUACUGCAAAUCUCGAGUCCGGAAGAGGUGAGUGGAAUUCCUAGUGUAGAGGUGAAAUUCGUAGAUAUUAGGAAGAACACCAGUGGCGAAGGCGGCUCACUGGUCCGGUACUGACGCUGAGGUGCGAAAGCGUGGGGAGCAAACAGG
rnacentral:rRNA from 1 species